AGAAUGUAACAUUUUUUGUGUCUGAGCAUACUUUCUUCUUCAACAUGCCUCUAGCUCAUUUAGCUGUGGGCAUAUUGAUUAUUCAUUGUUCGCCUUGACUGAGAAUCAGGUUCCUCCUCACGCUUCAACAACUUGAGACACCUGCCCAAAUGCUUCUAGCUCCUUGAAGACAAAAAAGUCCCUGCAGGCAGAGAAGAACACGUAAGUGCAUCCUUUUUGGGUUUGCAUAGAUUUCCAUACUUGGCACUUAAUACGUUCCCACUGUAAUCUUCAUCAGGCUGCAAUUGCCUAGUUUAAUUUUGGGAGAAAGAAAAAUAUCUGGGUGAACAGCUGGAUGAAAAAUAUCAUCACAAUGUUACAAAUGUAUUUGGUCUGGCUAACCUUGAGUCUCUUUGAAAAAUCCAGUGGACAAAUUGUCAUCACUCAAACACCAGCCUCUCUACAUGUAAAUCCUGGGGACAGAGUCACCAUUCAGUGCAAAGCAUCCUCUUCCAUGAGUGAUGACAUGGCCUUAAUUCAAUUUAUCCUGGGACAAAAGCCUAAGCUCCUUAUUCAUGAUGGUGACACCCGUUUUGAAGGGACCCCAGAUCGCUUUAGUGGCAGCUACAGUGGCACUGACUUCACCUUCACUAUCAGCGGUGUACGUCCUGAAGAUGCAGCGGAGUAUUACUGUGGCCAAGACUAUACCACACCUCUACACAGUGAUACAGCUCAGUACAAAAACCAUAUCAAUGGCCUAAUGCAAUAAGAAGGGCACUGUAUCUCUCCUUGAUGUCGACAUGUAAUGGGCACUGUAUUUCUCUGUCUUGACUAUAUGUGAUGGACAAGACAAAGCAGAAAAACAAGAAAUCCAUGAAGGUUUGGAGAGAGUAUGCUGAAACAGUCUUUGUUGCAGACACAAUCCAUUUUAACUAAUACCUACCAGCCCAAAUGGUGGGUGUGGUUUCAAGUAAUCAUCUGGUAAUUUGUCUAUCUCCUCGGUAUUCAUUGCAUUGGAACACACAGAAAGCAGGCUCAGACCCCCACCCACUCAAGAUUGUUCACUGCCCGAUUUCUGAGGUGUUCCCACUGUCCAUGUAGUCCCAGUGCUGUGGUCUUUGAGAUCACUUUAACUCUUGAUUUGAGGGAUUUGAUUGUCCAUAACUGCAGCCUUAGAAUAUACUGGCAUAAUGAUUUCCUUCUAAAAUCAGACAGGGCACAGCUAGGGUAGGAAAAAGGGGAAGCUGGAAGUCUCCAGGUAAGCAGAGCAGUGAAAUUGAACUUUCCUUCAGACUUUAAAGAAUCUGUCUCACAUUUUUCAAAUGUGCGAAUACUAAACCUAACAGAGAAUUCAGUGUUUUCACCUUAAAGGCACUAUGCUUCUCCAGAACUUACUUGGGGGAUAGCAGUUACUCUCAGAAGUGGAGUGCUAUAGUAUAUGAGCAAGCAAAGGCUGUGACACAGCGUUUGGAUAAUCAAGAGCGGGGAAAAUAAAAGAGGGAUAAAGCACAUAAUAAAAUGCAGAGGGGUCUGGAGCAGCUUCAACAAAUGAGAACAAUAUGGCACAUGUGAAUGCUGUUCCAAAGACUUCCUCAACCACCAGUUGGCCAAAUAAUCUGUGUUCAAACCAUUUAGGAUUGCAAAGAAAACUUGUAAAUACCUAGAGAGCAAUUAAUGGCAGUAUAUUAUGUCAA